rnacentral:lncRNA from 1 species
CUAAUUGAAAUUAUACAAAAUUCAAAUGAUCCCUAAACUAUGUUAAAAUCUAAUUACCUAAUUAAAAAUAAUUAAAUGGGUAAAAUAGGAAUAUUGAAAGAAAAAAAAAACUAAAAUAGAACAUUGGGCCAAGGGUGUUAACCUCAAACUAGAGGUGCAAUAAAGGACUCAGACGUAUGGGCCUAAUUCUAAGAGCCCAUUGGAAAUUUCUUGGGUUAGGGGG